CUGGACUUUUGAGGCUGAGCAAUCUAUUUUAUUGAGGGGCAGCAGACAAAUGAAGCAACCCAUCUACAGAUGUUUCAGAACUAUGCCAUUAUUGGAGGAAAACAUCAGAAUGCAAAUUCAGAGCUUUGCAGACAUGGGAGGAAAUGUUUGGCAGGAUGCUCCACAGAUGGGAACAGCUUUGCCAGAGACGUUUCUCCAUCAGCAGUUGCCUGUUUAGAAAAUGCUGAAACAUUGUGACAUGAGUUCCACAACAGCGCUUCAAAUGAGGAUCAAGACUUCAGCAAAAUAUCCUUGUUGAUACAUGACCAGGGGAAAAAAGCUCACUUAUUUUGGAGAAUGUAUAGCCUAGAUAUUUGGGGCAGUUUGUUUGGCAAACUGCACUGCAAAACCUGAAGAAAUACAUGUUUUGAAGGAGAGAUCAAUUAGUGAAGGCAAUAAAUUAAAUGAAACCUAACACCAAUUGGUCUGGCACCCCAAGUAGCUACCUCCUCCCAAACUCGGCAUGCCGCCAUUUAUCAUUACCACUCAUUAAUGGUGCUUGCAGUCUGUUUACAACCCACAUGGAAAUGUUUCUAACCAAAGGCAAUUUGAGUCCAUUUUUCAAGCAAGAUUUUGUGAGACAUGGUAUCGAGUGCUUUACGACACCCCCAAUUUUGUUGCAUUCCCUUGUCUCCACUAAUAUUAAUCAUUCUAUUUUUAAGAAAUUAAAUCUCCCUGGAAUGAUUUAGUCUAUAUUGUUUGUAAGGGCAGUUUCACCAUUUAGGUAAAUGAGAAAGAAACAAAGAAAGAAAAGUGGGGGAAGCACACUGGAUGGUUCUUGAUGCUUAUAUGAACUGCCAACUUUUUAAAAAUUAUUUGUAGCUGUGUACAUACCGUACUUUAUUUGAGACUGAGU